rnacentral:rRNA from 4 species
AAACUUUCAACAAUGGAUCUCUUGGUUCCG